AAGGGCACCACAAGAACGCGUGGAGCAUGUGGCUUAAUUUGACUCAACGCGGGAAAUCUUACCGGGUCCGGACACACUGAUGAUUGACAGGCAAUAUCAGCGCAUCUCUGAUGCUGCUGUGUUAAAUAUGCUAGUCCUUUCAUGAUUAUGUGAUAGGUGGUGCAUGGCCGUUCUUAGUUCGUGGAGUGAUCUGUCUGCUUAAUUGCGUCUCACUAAGGAACUAUAUUUCUUAUGUAUGUUGUCAGCGCAUUGACCCCUCAACUGCUACAAUUCUUAACUGAAUUGACUUUUGCUGCGCGUGUCUUUGAUUCUCGUCUGGCUCAUACGAUUAGUUCCUGAAAGCAACGAACGUGACCGCAACCUCUUGUUGCCUUCAAAUCAUAAUACAUGCACUCAUUUGGAUGAAUUUCAUUUGUGUGCAUACGGGAGGCUUUUCUAAACUAGAGGGACCGCUGUUAUCUUCUUUAGACCAGAGGAAAGGUUGCGGCAAUAACAGGUCUGUGAUGCCCUUAGAUGUUCCGGGCUGCACACGUGCUACAAUGAUUAUUGCAGUGAGCAUCUCAUUUACUUAAUACAUCGCAAGCGCGAGUCCGUUUGUUCUUUGUUUCAGUUCAUGCUGUUCAGAGCUUCAAAUGAGUAUCUCUGCGCGCGAUAAAGCCUGCUUUGAAAGUUUAGUGGGUAAUCAAUUAGAAGUAAUGAUUUCCUAAAUUUAUCGCACUUAUAUGUACGGCGUCUUUACCCAGCUGGCCUUUUGUGCCAGAAUUCGUGUGUAUCGACGAUUGAUUUCUUAUAAUCAAUUGCCAUUCUUACGGUACCGUACGUGCAAUUGUCAAUUCAUGGUGGGGACAGACCAUUGUUAAUUGUUGGUCUCGGUCUUAACUAGGAAUGCCUUGUACGGGUCUUUGGUUCAACAGACCACCCGGAAUACGUCCCUGCCCUUUGUACACACCGCCCGUCGCUCUUACCGAUGGACUUCUCUGUGAGUUUGAGGGACUGGGUCAAUCUAAACUUCGCUUUAGANCUUUAAGACCUAUGGAAACUUAAACGAACAGUGUGNUNNNNNNNAAAGAGAAGUCGAACAAGGCAAAGG
rnacentral:rRNA from 1 species